rnacentral:lncRNA from 1 species
CCACCUCGGACUGAGGAUGUGUUCUCUCAACUCCCCACCACGUUCCUAAUGUGUAUUAUCUUCAUCUUUUAUUUCUCCUCGAUAUCCUUAGCAUGCAUGCAGAUCUCGGUGUUCCACAAGAUUGUGCAAGAAAAUCAAAUGAAAUCACACGUGAGAACAGGAAGCAAUCCCAGGAAAGGAGUUUAGCGCAGUCCCCAACUCAGUUUGCGGGUAAAGCCGGUGCCUCAGCAGCCUGGUGCUUAGUUUCUCUGCAAACAUCAGGUUCAGAUGACAGGUCAGCAUCCAGCGAGCGUAAUCUCUGGUCCCCUACACACUGUAGGGGCUUACUUUCUACUUCAGGAAGUUUGGAUUCUUCACUGCCUUCUGACAACACAGCUUUCUGGAGGAUGUUAUUGGUGACCUUUGUUUUACUCUGGUGUAAGCUUCAUUCUGCAGUGGUACCUCAAACAUCGGGGAGCACUCACCAGGCUCUUCUAGGUCUUCCAUCUCCAGGUCCUUCCAGCUCCUCUUUGUUUCAGACAAGAUUCUCUCCCACUCUCCGCAUUGCUCCUGCUUUAUGGGAUUGCUUGCCAAUCACUUUCUUGGCACUGCCUUGUUUGGGGAAAAAAAAGCAGCACCACGAACACCACAGCCCUCGUUCAAGCAGGACGGAGGAAGCACAGUGGCUGUGGGCACAUUGAGAGAAGCUUAAGCAACAUGGAAGGUGAGGAUGUGCAAUUAAUGGAUGUGCAAUUCUUUAUUUUUUUAAAAUCACCAUUUGGCUUAAUAUUUGUCUUGUUUCAUAGGGCAAGGGCUGCAUUCAUUUCCUCCUUGAAGUUUCCUCUGCAUUUGGAAGCAUGCUGAAGUUAGCAGCCAGGCCAUCUACAUCUCCGUCCUCAUCACUCACAGCAGCUGUGACUUCCUGGGGUGUUCUACUGAAGGUGCUGCACUCUGCUCAAUGAUGAGAUGGUGUUUGCAGUGGGAGACUUCUACAAGUCACAUAUUCCAUUGCUUUACUCCUAAACACUAAUAAAUACUGAUGCUUAAACCA